AGCUCCAAUAGCGUAUAUUUAAGUUGUUGCGGUUAAAAAGCUCGUAGUUGGAUUUCGGGCGUGGAGGUUCGGUCCGCCGUUUCGGUGUGCACUGUCUUUCUGCGUCUUUCUGUCGGGGACGCGCUUCUGGCCUUAAUUGGCUGGGACGUGGAUUCGACGAGGUUACUUUGAAAAAUUAGAGUGUUCAAAGCAAGCUAAAGCUCUGAAUACAUUAGCAUGGAAUAACGCGAGAGGACUCGGU
rnacentral:rRNA from 1 species